AUGAUUAACAGCGUGAUUUUUAACGUUUGUUUUAGGCCCUGGCAAAAUCUUGGACCAUCUGAGUCUUUGAAAUUGGCUGUACCUUUUCUCAUGUCAAGGAUUACCAAAAACCUCCAAAGGAUGCUUGUACUCAGUGAUUUUCCUAAACAACUUUAUGAAAAAUUCAUUGGCUUUUUCCAGACAAUUCCUCUUCCCCCUUAUUGUUUUAAGUUCACAAAUUGCCUGAAUGUUCCAUCAUGGGAUCACAGAUUACUAACUACGGUUUUAAAAGGCCAGAACAUUACUGGUGAACAAAAAAAGAAUGGAAAGAAGGAAUUCCUCUGGGAAGUUCUUAAUGUGAUAAAGGCUAGAACUGAAAAAAUGGAAAGUAUGGGACGGUAAGUGCCUAACCAUUCUUUAUAUCUAUGGGGAUUAACUCCUAAGUUGUGUGUCACUUAGGAAAUACAGUGUUUUAUUUAGAGAGGAUAGAUUGCAAAUCUAAGAAAUAAAUAAAAGUGAGGUACUAUUUAAGCAAAUGAAAUCUUAUUUUAUUGUUUCUUUUCUCUUCUGCCUCCAACUCAUUCUAGAAUUAAAUCAUUUGUGUUCUGCUGAGAAUAAAAUCUCACCGAGAAAGACAUUGAUUUCUUGAUGUAUUUUCUUCUAUUGUUUAAAAGCAGUAAAAGAGUGUAUGAAUUCCAUCAUGUGCCUUGUUUUAAAAUGUUCCUUUACUAUAUAGUACUUUGUGUUCAGAUUGUCAAGGGAUAUAAAAAUUGUACAGUAGUGAUGCUAAUAGCAAAGUCGACUAAAUUUAGGAUUAGCCGAACUAAAUAAGGAUUAAUUGGAUUUGCAGGAAGAAAAAAACAAUAUUCAGAGAAAAUUAAUAGGCAUUUAUAUGACAUAGGAAAUUCAGAUUCUGAAAGAAGUGAUUGCAAUAGGCUAGAGUGGGGUCCUCAAACUUUUUAAAUAGGGGGCCAGUUCACUGUCCCUCAGACUGUUGGAGGGCUGGACCAUAGUAAAAACAAAAACUUUGUUUUGUGGGCCUUUAAAUAAAGAAACUUCAUAGCCCUGGGUGAGGAGGAUAAUCGUCCUCAGCUGCCACAUCUGGCCCGCAACCGUAGUUUGAGGACCCCUGGGCUAGACCCUUUUGGGGGAAGGAGUCUCAUGGAUGACCCCCAUUUAUAGUUUUCAAAUCAUUAUUUUAGUAAUCAAAGGAAUUUCAUUUGGAGGCUAAUUAAAACUAAGGUAUUAACUUUUCCCAUUCAAUUUCAUGGAUCCCUGAAAUCAGUCUUUGGACCCUAAGUUAGGAACCCCUGUUCUAAUGAGAAUUUGUACUGAAAUAAGAGGUAGUCUGCCUAAAGGAGCUCCCCUAAAGUUAGUAAAGACCUAAUAAGCCAGUUUUUACAUUCUGUCAUUCAUCUCUAGUUUUUGUUGUCAUCACUCAAGAAGGAGUUCUUCAAAUAUAUUUCCUUUCCCUAUUUUUUGUUUUCUACAUUGUGAGUCCCUAAAAUCUUCCUUUUGCUUCUUCCCACCCACAACAGCCUUCAUUUAUCUCAGUUCAUCAUAGUUUUUUAACAUUUUAAAAAUGUUGAAUUUAUUUAUUUAUUUAUUUAUUUUAUAGCCUUUUAUUUACAGGUUAUAUGUAUGGGUAACUUUACAGCAUUAACAAUCGCCAAACCUCUUGUUCCAAUUUUUCACCUCUUACCCCCCACCCCCUCCCCCAGAUAGCAGGAUGACCAGUAGAUGUUAAAUAUAUUAAAAUAUAAAUUAAAUACACAAUAAGUAUACAUGACCAAACUGUUAUUUUGCUGUACAAAAAGAAUCAGACUUGAAAUAUUGUACAAUUAGCUUGUGAAGGAAAUCAAAAAUGCAGGUGGGCAUAAAUAUAGGGAUUGGAAAUUCAAUGUAAUGGUUUUUAGUCAUCUCCCAGAGUUCUUUCUCUGGGCAUAGCUAGUUCAGUUCAUUACUGCUCCAUUAGAAAUGAUUUGGUUGAUCUCGUUGCUGAGGAUGGCCAG
rnacentral:lncRNA from 1 species